rnacentral:sRNA from 1 species
UGAUUCUUGCGCGCAGGUCCGCACUCA